rnacentral:rRNA from 1 species
CCCUUAGAUGUUCUGGGCCGCACGCGCGCUACACUGAUGCAUUCGACGAGCCUAGCCUUGACCGAGAGGUCCGGGUAAUCUUUGAAACUGCAUCGUGAUGGGGCUAGAUUAUUGCAAUUAUUAAUCUUCAACGAGGAAUGCCUAGUAAGCGUGAUUCAUCAAAUCGCGUUGAUUACGUCCCUGCCCUUUGUACACACCGCCCGUCGCUCCUACCGAUUGAGUGUGUUGGUGAGGAGUUCGGAUUGGCUCUUAGUGGUGGUUCGCCACCACCUAGAGCUGAGAAGUUCUCCAAACCGCCCCACUUAGAGGAAGGAGAAGUCGUAACA